UGGUGGAGUGAUUCGUCUGGUUAAUUCCGUUAACGAACGAGACCUCGGCCUGCUAAAUAGUUCGGUAUACUUUCGGGUAUAUACGUGACUUCUUAGAGGGACUGUCGGUUAUUAGCCGAAGGAAGUUCGAGGCAAUAACA
rnacentral:rRNA from 1 species